UGCUCGGCAAGUAACUGGCUGACCACUUUGGCUUCGAGCCAAAGGUGCCGUGGGUUCGAAUCCCACUCGAGCAAC
rnacentral:tRNA from 1 species